rnacentral:rRNA from 1 species
GUGGGGAAUAUUGGACAAUGGGCGAAAGCCUGAUCCAGCCAUGCCGCGUGUGUGAAGAAGGUCUUCGGACUGUAAAGCACUUUAAGUUGGGAGGAAGGGCAGUAAGUUAAUACCUUGCUGUUUUGACGUUACCGACAGAAUAAGCACCGGCUAACUUCGUGCCAGCAGCCGCGGUAAUACGAAGGGUGCAAGCGUUAAUCGGAAUUACUGGGCGUAAAGCGCGCGUAGGUGGUUUUGUAUGUUGGAGGUGAAAUCCCCGGGCUCAACCUGGGAACUGCCUCCAAAACUGCAUGACUAGAGUACGGUAGAGGGUAGUAGAAUUUCCUGUGUAGCGGUGAAAUGCGUAGAUAUAGGAAGGAACACCAGUGGCGAAGGCGACUACCUGGACUGAUAAUGACACUGAGGUGCGAAAGCGUGGGGAGCAAACAGGAUUAGAAACCCUAGUAGUCC